rnacentral:rRNA from 1 species
UACGUAGGGUGCAAGCGUUAAUCGGAAUUACUGGGCGUAAAGCGUGCGCAGGCGGUUUUGUAAGUCUGUCGUGAAAGCCCCGGGCUCAACCUGGGAAUUGCGAUGGAGACUGCAAGGCUUGAAUCUGGCAGAGGGGGGUAGAAUUCCACGUGUAGCAGUGAAAUGCGUAGAGAUGUGGAGGAACACCGAUGGCGAAGGCACCCCCCUGGGUCAAGAUUGACGCUCAUGCACGAAAGCGUGGGGAGCAAACAGG